GGAGUACGCCACCCCUCUAGGGACCCAGGAAGCGAGGCGAGCCUCAGGUGGACGCGGUGGUGUGGACCACGGCGAUCAGGGCCUUUCCCCCUGCUGUGGAGACGGAGGUGCGAGGGGACGCCGGCGGCUCCCCACCUUCUGGCCGAGUGGCCUUCUCCGCCUCCGGCUGGACUCCCUCGGGGCGCUCCCUCCAGAGCCGAGUCGGGCUGGCCGGGGGCGGCUGUUUGGCCUGAGUGUCGUCUUACUAAAGCGGAACGCCGGAGGGGAGGCCACUCCGAGAGAAGGCGGUCCCCGGCGGAGGUGGCUUCGUGAAUCCUGCAGCCCCCUGCCCGCCCGCCACUCGAGACGCCGCGCCUCGUGGGUUUCACGCUGGAUGGAGGGGGCGCCGCCGAGGAUGCCCAGCCUCCCCCUCUAAUUCUACCUCUCCAGUUCCUCAGGCUCAACCAAAUGCCUCUGCCAGGAGAAUCUUUCAGAGUGUCCUGGAACAUUGGAAAUAGGCUUAAAGCUUAAAUGAUGAAUCAGAAGAGUUAUGCUGUAUUCUAAUGCUGCCACUAGGGCCACACAGGGUGCCAACAUCCAAUCUCAAGAUCUUCGGGAAAUAUGCUCACCCUCCAAAAUACUUACAGAUGUGUCUCCUCUUUUUUGUAAAAUAAAUGCUCUUCUUAUAUUUGGUGUUUCCUUGGUAUGGCCACAAGAUUAUUUAGUAUGACAUAUUUAAUGGUGAAGAUAAAG
rnacentral:lncRNA from 1 species